UCUUGCUAACAGUCCCGAAGAAAAAGGAAUCUAAAUCUAUCAUUCCUCCUCAACCUCAGAGCAAUCUGGAUUCAAGUCCCCUCGGUCAUCAGAUUUCAUUUGUGUGUGAGGAACUUCCCAGAAAGAAAACUCUCUGGUUCUUCACUGCUUGGCCAUGACCUUGGUGUUCAUCUUGAUGCUUGGGGUGCUUCUGUUCCUGAGAGGAACUGGAGCCCAGUCACUGACCCAAACUGACGGCCACAUCACUGUCUCUGAAGGAGCCCGUCUGGAGCUGAGUUGUAACUAUUCCUCUAGUGGAACUACUUAUCUCUUCUGGUAUGUGCAGCACCCCAACCAAGGACUCCAGCUUCUCCUCAAGUACUUUUCAGGGCCAUCAGAUGCCCUAGUUCAAGGCAUCAAAGGUUUCGAGGCUGAAUUUAAGAAGAGUGAAAAGGCCUUCCACCUGAGGAAACACUCAGCCCAUUGGAGCGACUCAGCCAAGUACUUCUGUGCUGUGAGUGACACAGCGCCUGGGACUACAGGGGGAGCUGAACACAAACCUUCUGAGACACUGUAACUUAAAGGACUCAGGGUCUCAGCCUGAGUUGUUUUCAGGAAGUUGACAUGUUCUGUAAAAGAACAUGUCCCCCUGCCUGUUUUUAUAUUAUUUUUGUUUCCCUUCCCUUAUGUUCAUCUGUUUUGUCUCUUAAAGUCCUCAUAUGAGUGAA